UCCGCCAAGAUGGCAACCUGUAAUCUAUCUAACGCCAAGAGGAUGGUUUCCAGGUGUGAGGGGCUAGUUUAUUUUCAUGACAGUGUGUACAAAAAUUCAGUCUAUCACGGCAGUGCAUGCAAUCUGAAUGGACUCGGAUUCGCACAGCGGGAAAUAUAUAUUAAUAUGGAUUACCUUGUUAAAAUAUGCGCCUUAUCGUUGAAGGAAACAACUAAGCAUUUACGACUAUGACCUCCUAAGAUGGGGCAACAGCAGAAACAAGACUCAACCAACAUCAAGCUUUUUCCAUCGCCCUCCAGAACCCCACGGCCUUUCGCCUGCCUGCAGAACCGCCAGGGUUCUCCAACCCGUGGGCUUCUACAUCCCAGAAUCCCCGGGGGGAGAAUUAACAUGCGACCAUCAAGCGAUUGUGACGGGGCCCAUAAAUCAGAGCGUCCGGAUGGUACCAUAGAGGCCUGCUGCGCUUACGAGGCCGUAGAAGGUAAAAUCCGAAGGCAUGCAUCCCUUAACCAAUCAGAGGGGACCUGGAGGUGGAGAGAAGAGCGGCCUACCUCUGCAGCCCGAACAUUGCCUCUACAGCCUCCAGCAGGUAACGAGAUCGAGCGGGAGAUGCACUUUGCUGACGACAGGCUUCGCCUCCGCCCUCACACUUGACUAACCCCUCAUACACCUGCUCACUUCCUGUGAGGCAGAGAUAAACGCCCCCUAGAAGUGAGCCAUAAAUAGCGGAAGUAAUGUUCUGGUAAACAGACGAAAUUAACCGGCAUGCCAGUAUGUGAGGUGUUUCUGGGUGCAAGUCAGUCCAGCUGCUGUGGAUCUUACUUUAAAUAAAUAAAUAAAAAAUCAGAGGAAGACAGACCCUUUAUCAGUUCUCACACUGGACAUUAGAACCACAGCUUACACAUAUGGAGGACGUUAAUGAUGUGAUAUACCUAAAUCACUCAAAGUAUGCAACAAAGGCCCAUAAUGGGUGGAUUGAAUAACUGUAUCUCUGACAGUUUCCCCUCUCCCCUAGCCUGAUUUUAUGUGAGGAGAAUAAAAUAUAGGUAUGCACUUAGUCCAUCAGUGCCCAGAAGAGCCGGUUUACUGUGGUUUAAUGUGCUAUGAAAUAAUUUACUGAGAGCAAAUGCUAAUUAUGUCAGCUGGAUACUAUUCAAAUGUCUCCUCGAUGAUUUACCUUCCAUUACACAUUUAUUUGGACAUUUAACACCGCAAACUGAAGGCCGUCCACGGGAAUCAAUAUGCCAUUACUACUGCAUCGCUAAGACACAUACCACAAGCAAAACCAAUUUUAUGAUCAGCGAAAAUAACAGCUUCAGUUCAGGGUGUCAGUGUUUUUUUUUCUCUCUCAUUUUUUUCCAGUUGAAAUGCUUCUAAUGGGGAUGCAGAAGAAAUUUUCACUGUCUUCUAAAGAUUGAGUCACAAAGUGCUUUGGGCAGUUACGAAGGAGGACGUUCUUCAGUGAAUUUUGAUGCAGGGUGGAUCACGUAGCUUUGUGGGAGCUGACGUUCGAGGGAUGGUCAGAGAUGAACGCUCGAGCAUCCCGCUAUUUUUAAACGAUGUUUCCCCUUCAUUUUCUCCUAAGUUUCGUAUGUCCAGUCUUCUGCAAUCGAGCUCACGCUGCAGUUCUCUGCCACCGAUGUGGGAGCGUUUGGACAAGCGGGUUCUCUCCUCUGGAACGUUCCCGUCCUGGAUGUGGGAUGCUUGAUUGACCAGUUGGGGGUAGCUGCAAAACAAUGCAGAUGCAAAUCCCUAAUUCUGGGUGAUGCAACCCGCAGAGGCACCACCACAAAUUUCGGUCCCCCUGAAAAUGAACAAAAACAUUGGGCCCCACCACCCCAGAGCAUCCUAUGUUCUGCUAUUUUUUAAGGGGCUCCCGGGGGAAUUAACCUGCUUGUCCAAGCACUCCCACAUCGCACCCCUGGUUACCCAUCACAGGCAGCACUGGUAAGAUCGGGAUAAGAUUUCAGACCGCAAUACUAGGACUAGUGCCUUAAUUGGACAAACCACCCAACACCCCCAGGCCUUGCAUUUCUCCAAUAAAAGUAACUAAUCAAGACAGAAGACAGGGUUGGGCCUGAAGGUCCUUCUCAUUUGAACACUGUUCCAAUUAAUUACCUCAGGUAUAUGUAUAAUGGUGAAUUUAUAACGGUAGUGCAAUGUUUUUAAAAACUGCAGCAGCAUUUCAAACUCUUGCCAGUUUCCAUGGUAAUAUAUAUUUUUUUAUUUUUUAUUUUUUAUUUUUUUUACAAUAGAUUACACAAGAUUUUUUAUUCUAGGAUAAUGCGACAACCCGUGAAUAUGUUCUGUUUUUUGGUUUUGUUUUUUCCAAAUCCUGCUUUUUAGGUGAAUUCAAUUCACCUUUCCCACACGGUGGAUAAAUUAUAGUUUUCCCUCCUUUGACUGCAGUGUCUCCCCGUGGGUUCUUUAUCCUCUGAGCAGACGAUAAUAAAACUCAGCCGGUCUUCUGUCUCUCAAAGUCCUCAGAGACCGGCAUGCAGCCCCGCACUGGCAAUAACAAGUCACAGAUGAAUUCUCUGUAACCUUUCUGCUAGCGUGCAUCUUUUUAAGGUGAC